rnacentral:rRNA from 1 species
GAGUUUGAUCGUGGCUCAGAUUGAACGCUGGCGGCAUGCCUUACACAUGCAAGUCGAACGGCAGCAUGAUCUAGCUUGCUAGAUUGAUGGCGAGUGGCGAACGGGUGAGUAAUACAUCGGAACGUGCCCUGUAGUGGGGGAUAACUAGUCGAAAGAUUAGCUAAUACCGCAUACGACCUGAGGGUGAAAGGUGGGGGACCGCAAGGCCUCAUGCUAUAGGAGCGGCCGAUGUCUGAUUAGCUAGUUGGUGGGGUAAAGGCCCACCAAGGCGACGAUCAGUAGCUGGUCUGAGAGGACGAUCAGCCACACUGGGACUGAGACACGGCCCAGACUCCUACGGGAGGCAGCAGUGGGGAAUUUUGGACAAUGGGCGAAAGCCUGAUCCAGCAAUGCCGCGUGUGUGAAGAAGGCCUCGG